UACGUAGGGUGCGAGCGUUGCCCGGAUUUAUUGGGCGUAAAGGGCGCGUAGGCGGCUCGGCACGUCCGUUGUGAAAUCGCCCGGCUCAACUGGGCGGGGUCGGCGGAUACGGCCGAGCUGGAGCAAGCUAGGGGGUAAUGGAAUUCCCGGUGUAGUGGUGGAAUGCGUAGAUAUCGGGAGAACACCAGUGGCGAAGGCGACUACCUGGCCUGUUCUUGACGCUGAGGCGCG
rnacentral:rRNA from 1 species